AUUGCCCUCGUAACGGCGAGUGAAGCGGCAACAGCUCAAAUUUGAAAUCUGGUUCGGCCCGAGUUGUAAUUUGCAGAGGAUGUUUUUGGCGCGGUGCCUUCCGAGUUCCCUGGAACGGGACGCCACAGAGGGUGAGAGCCCCGUAUGGUUGGACACUAAGCCUGUGUAAAACUCCUUCGACGAGUCGAGUAGUUUGGGAAUGCUGCUCUAAAUGGGAGGUAAAUCUCUUCUAAAGCUAAAUACCGGCCAGAGACCGAUAGCGCACAAGUAGAGUGAUCGAAAGAUGAAAAGCACCUUGAAAAGGGGGUUAAACAGUACGUGAAAUUGUUGAAAGGGAAGCGCUUAUGACCAGACUUGUGCCGUGCGGCUCAUCCGGGGUUCUCCCCGGUGCACUCCGCACGGCUCAGGCCAGCAUCGGUUUUCGUUGGGGGAUAAGAACUGUAGGAACGUGGCCCCUUUCGGGGGGUGUUAUAGCCUAUGGUACGAUACCCUGGCGGGGACCGAGGACCGCGCUUCGGCAAGGAUGCUGGCGUAAUGGUCAUUAGCGACCCGUCUUGAAACACGGACCAAGGAGUCGUCCAUUAGAGCGAGCGUUUGGGUGUAAAACCCGCACGCGUAAUGAAAGUGAAAUUAGGUGAGAGCUUCGGCGCAUCAUCGACCGAUCCUGAUGUUCUCGGAAGGAUUUGAGUAAGAGUUUUAACGGACGGACCCGAAAGACAGUGAACUAUGCUUGUAUAGGGUGAAGCCAGAGGAAACUCUGGUGGAGGCUCGCAGCGGUUCUGACGUGCAAAUCGAUCGUCAAAUAUGAGCAUGGGGGCGAAAGACUAAUCGAACUGUCUAGUAGCUGGUUACCGCCGAAG
rnacentral:rRNA from 1 species